CAGUAGCCGCGGUAAUACGGAGGGAGCUAGCGUUGUUCGGAAUCACUGGGCGUAAAGGGUGCGUAGGCGGGAUCUUAAGUCAGGGGUGAAAUCCCGAGGCUCAACCUCGGAACUGCCUUUGAUACUGGGGUCCUUGAGACCGGAAGAGGUGAGUGGAACUGCGAGUGUAGAGGUGAAAUUCGUAGAUAUUCGCAAGAACACCGGUGGCGAAGGCGGCUCACUGGUCCGGAACUGACGCUGAGGCACGACAGCGUGGGGAGCAAACAGGAUUAGAUACCCCGGUAGUCCCUGUCUCUUAUAC
rnacentral:rRNA from 1 species